AGCGAACGCUGGCCGCAGGCCUAACACAUGCAAGUCGAACGAAGUCUUCGGACUUAGCGGCGGACGGGUGAGUAACACGUGGGAACGUGCCUUUAGGCUCGGAAUAACUCAGGGAAACUUGUGAUAAUACCGAAUGUGCACUUCAGAGGAAAGAUUUAUCUCUUUUAGAGCGGCCCGCGUCUGAUUAGGUAGUUGGUGAGGUAAUGGCUCACCAAGGCUACUGUCAGUAGCUGGUCUGAGAGGAUGUCCAGCCACAUUGGGACUGAGACACGGCCCAAACUCCUACGGGAGGCAGCAGUUGGGAAUCUUGCGCAAUGGUCUAAAGCCUGACGCAGCCAUGCCGCGUGGAUGAUGAAGGUCUUAGGAUUGUAAAAUCCUUUCACCGGUGAAGAUAAUGACUGUAGCCGGAGAAGAAGCCCCGGCUAACUUCGUGCCAGCCGCCGCCGUAACAC
rnacentral:rRNA from 1 species